rnacentral:rRNA from 1 species
GACGUAGGGCGCGAGCGUUGUCCGGAUUUAUUGGGCGUAAAGAGCUCGUAGGCGGCUUGUCGCGUCGACUGUGAAAACCCAUGGCUCAACCAUGGGCUUGCAGUCGAUACGGGCAGACUAGAGUGCGGUAGGGGAGACUGGAAUUCCUGGUGUAGCGGUGAAAUGCGCAGAUAUCAGGAGGAACACCGGUGGCGAAGGCGGGUCUCUGGGCCGUAACUGACGCUGAGGAGCGAAAGCGUGGGGAGCGAACAGG